AAUAAAAGAAGAAUUAAUCAGUCAUGACUAUAAGUUAUCACUAUGUAACUGAUAAUACUCCACAACAUGCUCAGGUAUAAAUAGAAUAUCAGUGACACUGCGAACUGGUUCAAUAAGACAGAUAUAGUUUUAUUAGUUGAUUGAAGUCUAACAUGGAUAACCGUGGUAAUUCUAGAGAUAAUACAUGCAUUCAGGCCCGACUCACGAAGGGCUGUAUUUAUUAGAUAUGAAGCCAAUAUUCCGCAAGGUCUAUUGUGGUGAAUCAUAGUAACUGAUCGGAUCCCCAACUGGGGAUAGAUCAUUCAAGUUUCUGCCCUAUCAGCUUUCGAUGGUAGUGUAUUGGACUACCAUGGCAGUAACGGGUAACGGAGAAUUAGGGUUCGGUUCCGGAGAGGGAGCCUGAGAAACGGCUACCACAUCUAAGGAAGGCAGCAGGCGCGUAAAUUACCCAAUGCAGAUUCUGCGAGGUAGUGACAAUACAUAACAACCUGGGGUCUCACGACUUACGGGAUUGCAAUGAGAACAAUUUAAAAACCUUAACGAGGAACAAGUGGAGGGCAAGUCUGGUGCCAGCAGCCGCGGUAAUUCCAGCUCCACUAGCGUAUAUUAAAGUUGUUGCAGUUAAAAAGCUCGUAGUUGAACUUCUGGUUGUGCGCCAGUGGUCGGUCUUCGAUCGCCCUGGGUGCAGCCAUCCGUCUGCAAACUUUUACAUCCUUAACUGGUUUGUCUAAGGGAGCAGGCAUUUUACUUUGAAAAAAUUAGAGUGUUUAAGGCAGGCACUAGCCGCUGAAUACAUUAGCAUGGAAUAAUGGAAUAGGACGCCUUGUCCAUUUGAUUGGUUAUUGGACUUGCGUAAUGAUUAAUAGGGACAGUUGGGGGCAUUAGUAUUUAAUUGUCAGAGGUGAAAUUCUUGGAUUUAUUAAAGACUAACUUAUGCGAAAGCAUUUGCCAAGGAUGUUUUCAUUAAUCAAGAACGAAAGUUAGGGGAUCAAAGACGAUCAGAUACCGUCCUAGUCUUAACUAUAAACUAUACCGACUCGGUUUCGGUGGGGUGUAUAUAACUCUAUCGGCGCCGUAUGAGAAAUCAAAGUCUUUGGGUUCUGGGGGGAGUAUGGUCGCAAGGCUGAAACUUAAAGGAAUUGACGGAAGGGCACCACCAGGUGUGGAGCCUGCGGCUUAAUUUGACUCAACACGGGGAAACUUACCAGGUCAAAACAUGGGUGGGAUUGACAGAUUGAGAGCUCUUUCUUGAUUCUGUGGGUGGUGGUGCAUGGCCGUUCUUAGUUGGUGGAGUGAUUUGUCUGCUUAAUUGCGUUAACGAACGAGACCUCAACCUGCUUAAUAGAUGCCUCGUGUACAACGGGGUACUCUUCUUAGAGGGACUAUGCGUUUCAAGCGCAUGGAAGUUUGAGGCAAUAACAGGUCUGUGAUGCCCCUAGAUGUCCUGGGCCGCACGCGCGCUACACUGACCCACUCAGCAAGUACUCCCUGGCCUGGAAAGGUUCGGGUAAUCUUCGCAAUAUGGGUCGUGUUAGGGAUCGAUCUUUGCAAUUAUAGAUCUUGAACGAGGAAUACCUAGUAAGUGCAAGUCAUCAGCUUGUACUGAUUACGUCCCUGCCCUUUGUACACACCGCCCGUCGCUCCUACCGAUUUCGAAUGGUCCGGUGAACCUUCUGGAGCGGUCGCAAGAUCGCGAAGUUAAGUAAACCUUAUCAUUUAGAGGAAGGAGAAGUCGUAACAAGGUUUCCGUAGGUGAACCUGCAGAAGGAUCA
rnacentral:rRNA from 1 species